AUUGAACGCUGGCGGCAGGCCUAACACAUGCAAGUCGAGCGGAUGAAGGGAGCUUGCUCCUGGAUUCAGCGGCGGACGGGUGAGUAAUGCCUAGGAAUCUGCCUGGUAGUGGGGGAUAACGUCCGGAAACGGGCGCUAAUACCGCAUACGUCCUGAGGGAGAAAGUGGGGGAUCUUCGGACCUCACGCUAUCAGAUGAGCCUAGGUCGGAUUAGCUAGUUGGUGGGUAAAGGCCUACCAAGGCGACGAUCCGUAACUGGUCUGAGAGGAUGAUCAGUCACACUGGAACUGAGACACGGUCCAGACUCCUACGUGAGGCAGCAGUGGGGAAUAUUGGACAAUGGGCGAAAGCCUGAUCCAGCCAUGCCGCGUGUGUGAAGAAGGUCUUCGGAUUGUAAAGCACUUUAAGUUGGGAGGAAGGGCAGUAAGUUAAUACCUUGCUGUUUUGACGUUACCAACAGAAUAAGCACCGGCUAACUUCGUG
rnacentral:rRNA from 1 species